rnacentral:rRNA from 1 species
AUGCCCCCGCCGCGCAGCUGCGCUCCGAACAGUCCAGAAGGCACGGGAAUGCGUCAGGCGCUUUUCCCCGCGAUGCCUGGGCCCACCUACCAGGCCCAGGCCCAAUGGGCUUCUGACCGUGCGCUUUCUCGCUACCUGCAGGAGCUCGACGAGAUGAAGCGUAGGCUCAAGGAGAUGGAGGAGGAGGCCGCCGCCCUGCGCGACAUGCAGGCCAAGGUCGCCAAGGAGAUGCAAGGAGGAGAUGCCAAUGCGUCUACAGCUGAGGCAAAGGAGCAGGUGGAUGCUCGCUCUGUUUAUGUUGGAAAUGUUGAUUAUGCGUGUACACCAGAGGAAGUGCAGCAGCAUUUCCAAGCUUGCGGAACUGUCAACAGAGUGACAAUCUUGACCGACAAGUUUGGACAGCCAAAAGGCUUUGCUUACGUGGAAUUUCUAGAACAAGAAGCUGUUCAGGAGGCUCUUAAUCUGAAUGAAUCUGAGUUGCAUGGUCGCCAGAUCAAGGUGUCACCAAAGAGGACUAACGUCCCUGGGAUGAAGCAGCGUCCUCCACGCGGAUUCAAUCCCUAUCAUGCCUACCCCUAUAGAUCAUACGGGGCACCGUAUUUCCCGCCGUAUGGAUAUGGGAGAGUUCCCAGAUUCCGCCGGCCGACACGCUACAGGCCGUACUUCUGA